rnacentral:rRNA from 1 species
AAAAGUGGGAACGACAAGAAUAGAGAGAGGCGGUGAGCACGUUGCGAGCAGCGGCGGGCAGUCGAGGCCGGUGACGGUGGGAGGAGGCACGGGCGCUGGAUGGGUUAUCAAAGAGGCGACCCGAGCCGUCAUCGCGAGGGACGCAUGCCUGCCCGCGCUCCUCUGCCGCCGAGCCAGAGAGGGACGCGUGAAGGCGGGGCCGGGAAGAGAAGAAGGAAACGGCCGCGGCGACGGCGGGAAGGAGGCGGUGGCCGUAGCAGACGAGGAGGAGGGAUAGGCCCAUUGGCUUCGUCGUCAUAGACGACUUAAAUCGUCGCGAGAAAAACCCACGACCAAACAUAGUACCUCUAUGAAUUGACAUUCCCGCAAGCAAAAUCGAACUGUCCGUAGUUACCUUGGUCCCGGUUGGUCAAUCAUUUCUAUCCUAGGGUUGGAGUUGCCCAACCGGUCCGUUCCAGUCAUUGUACGACACUCAUGAGAGGACUAGGACGAUCGUUCUCCGUACUCUCCAUAGUCGUUGUUGGCGUUUUACAACUAGAGGGUCUUAAUGUGGGCUUCUUGUUUUUCUUCGGGAAAGGACAGGGUUAAUUUUUCUACGAAGUUCGAAGGGCGUUUCUAUUCUCCGAACGUGUCUACUCCUAUCUCUUCGGAGAACUCGGGGGUUUCUUGCCAAACGAAAAUGGUCUCGAACACGGACAACGGAUGCUUCAGGAACUAUGGACCUUUCACGAGUAGUCUCCGUAGAGAGUUGAAGACUUACAACAAUGUCAAAUACCAACGUCUUUUACGGGAGUUCAGGUACAACCGGGUCAACCGGUGGUCUAUGUUCUAACGAUACCAAGUCCUUCGGUCGCAGCUUUAUCAGUGGUGAGAACCCAGUCUCCUAGGUAGUUGCUACACGACGAGGGCUAGCUUAGAAUGGUAGAAAAACUGGGUAAACCCGCCUCCCAGUUCGUACUGUGGUCCAAACUGAAGCUGUCCUAAGGUCGUUAAGAACUCGAUACGUAAGUCCGACCACAGCUGGAUGGUGUUAUAGGGUGUUCCUCUGCCUGACGAGGUCACGCCUACUAACCGUUCUUCCAAUAACUGGCACCGCCUCAACAGCUACUCGGAUUCGGUGUGGCUAGCCUCCUGACAUAUAGAGAAGAACGACUCGAACUGUGUAAAUCGUUGGUUGUCCCUGUCAGUGGGCACGGUCGGUUACACUUUCUCGUACGUCUCUCCUGUGACUUUCGUAUGACGCUACAGGCCGUCCCACAACGUGUCGACUACUCGUUCAUAUGCCAUUUUCGUACGCCCAUGACGAGACUCCAGGUGCAACCAGGUACCCCUGUGUUACACUUCGAGACACCCCGAAAGUUCGUGGUCACCGCUCUGCCGUUCGUGCCCACCGUCCUACGACAACACCUACUCCAGUAUGGCGGCUUGAUACACACCGUACAGGGACUGGGGUGACCGGGAGGAGAGUCUAGGAGAGAUUCCUCAAAGAUACCGUUUCGAGGCCGGCAACAGCUCGAUACACACGUCCGCCCUCGACUUUAUGGACGUCUCAUGGCCGGUUACUACUCCUGACUAUAGUAGUAGGGUCUGGGACUACUUCGAGCCUACCGACGUACUUUUGUUACAAGACGGGGACGUGAAGACUUCUACGGGCCUCAGGUUUAAGGUCGGUUUCCACGAACAAUGGGCCUACGGAGUACCAACCCGGGACAGUAUAACGGACUCCGUCGUCGUUUACGUAUCCAACAGAAUAUUAUGAUUAUGUUACGACUUGGUACUGGUCUGUAUGAGAGUUUUAACUAAGUAUCUAGACGAUUUUCAUAAGUAGUUUUCCACUAGGGGCUUAUAGGACGGAGGCGAGCGGACAGAAGGAUCACUAUGAUACGUAGAACACUGGUAAACUAGUGACGAAACGCCGUCUACGUGUUGAACUUCUUUCCUUCACCUUUUCCUACAGGAGACGAUACCACACAUAUUAGAACAAAUUACCGCACUCUACGAUAUACGAAGGGAUACGAUCUGACACUCCGUGAAUGCUACCGAGCUAUGUCUACCGAAGGGGGAAAGGUGACGACCAUGGUACGAAUUACCGCUCGACUAAGAACCCUAAUUUGAUUAGUGGCCCUAAACAAGCCCAUAAACACGCAGACCGACACUAAUUAGUACCUGAUUUUCGACACGUUGAACAUGGACGGGGGUCUUAGGGUCUAGUAGCGAGGGCCACGCCGAUGUACAUAUGGUAGUCUAAAUAGCCAUAUUACAUGAGAGAGGAGAUGAGAAAACACGACAUAUGAGACAUUGUACCGACGUUUUCGAUAUAGUUUACCUACCAAUCUCUCGGUACUUCAUCUGAAUCAUAUAAACAAAGACUUCCUACAUACGGUCCGAUAAGUCGGUCGGACUAGUUACGAAUGUACGAGAAGAGUCGUCACUUGACGUCUAUAGUAUUUGGUAAACGUCAAUGAGGGAGGCAGGCCUUUAUGAACAGCCUCUUUACCUACAUAGAUCUACAUAAAAUCAAAAUCUAUGUAGAUAAAAAUAGGUAAAGAAGCUAUUUAUAAAAGCCUGCCUCCCUCAUGUUGAAACAUAUUUGGUACAGGGUCGUUCAGUUGUUGUAUUAGAGUUUAAUUCCCGGGGGUCGAGCGUGUUAAAAAAAAAUUAUCGUAUAUACGUGAUCCUUUUCUUGGAAGUCAACUUCAUUAUAACAUCAUGAUCGAUUUCUACACCCCAGUAGUGUAUAUAAUAAUGUCAUCGGUCACUUCUACGGUGUCGUAUUAUAGAGACGGGACGAGACUACGACCGCGUUCUUGUCUCGUUUGUACCACUCGCCGACGUUACGUUGACGUUCAUGUAUUUUUUUUUACUUGACGUUCAUGUGUACUAACUCAACAGGGGCAUAUAUGGGAGAGGAGGGAAUACGAUCCUACUAAUGUUAUCGUCCGCAUUUAUGUCGAUCCUUAGUUGUCUGCCUGGCACAUGCAUACCGGCCCAUAGAUUUGACGAGGGCAACGUUCUCGAGAGACGUGACGUGUACACACAAGCCACAAGCAAGUGACCACAUAUUUAUGCCCCGCCGUUGCCAGAUCGGUUGGGUGGAGUAGUAAGUGAGUGAGUCGAGGUCUCGCUAGCCAGCGGAGAGAACUCGAGGGCGCGGCAUCAGUAGUAGUGGUACCGAUUCCUUCUUCUCGAGUUCUCUCAGCUAAACUUCCACUUGCACUCGACGACGCUGCCGACGUCCUCCUUCCACUACUUCCGGUACUUGGAGUUCCCGCACGACUCCUGCCUCUAGGUGGGUAGCGAGCUGGCCCAGUGGCAGCAGCCGUUGCAGCUGUGGUUCCACGAGCAGUUCUUCGAGCGGUUCCAGCCGUUCUAGCGGCUCCACCACCUCCGCCGCGGCCUCGUCGGCUUCUUCGCGCUCCCACUACCGCCCUUCCUAGCGCUGCCGCCGCUGACCUGCCGCGGCCGCGGCCGCUACCGCCCGCUCUUCUCGUUCGCGUUCCUCCUGCCGUACCUGUUGUCGCCGCUAUUCGGCGGCCGCCGCAGCAGGUUCUUUCUUACGUGGUUCACGCGCGUGGUCUUUGUCGUCAGGGGCGCGCCGCUGCCGCCACUGCGGCUACUAGUGCCGUUCUUCCAGUUUCCGUGGUGGCCACUGCUUUCCUCGCGGAAGUUUGUUCUUCGGCUGCCGAAACGGCGGCUCCGGUUCCGGAGGCGAGGGCUGGUUCGAGGCCGCCGCCACGUAGUGGUCAUGAUGGCGCGGCUCGGCGGGUCGUACCGGCACGGGUACGUCAUGUACGGCUGCUACGGCAUGAUGCGCCGCCGCUUGCACUGACGCGGCAGGAUGAUGUUGCCGCCGCCCAUGAUGCGCUACGGCGGCCGCGGCUACGGCACCGUCGGAGGGGUAGUGGUCGUUGACCAGGCCGGGGUCGGCAGGGCGAAGCUACGCCUGAUGAAGUUGCUCCUGUUGCGGCAACCGACGGUGCAGUACACUUGGAACGUACUAGCUACCUCGGUGUAGGGUACCUAGCCCCUGUUGCGAUUAGGUGGUAAAGAGGGGAAGAGGGUGGUAAGGGAGCAAGUACAUGUUGUAGGUGGACUAGCUAGCGGUACUUAAUAAGUCAAAUAAAGAACCUUAGGAGACAACUUGACAACUAGCUCGUUUUAGUGUAGCCC